ensembl:snRNA U1 U1 spliceosomal RNA
AUACAUACCUCUCAGGGGAAAUAGCAUGGUCAUAAAGGUGGCUUUUCGAGGGUGAAGCUCAUCUAUUGCACUAUGGUUGUGUUGAUUUCUGUAAUUUCCCCAAAGGUGGAAAAUUUGAUUCCACCAUUUGUAGUAGUGGAGGACUGUAUUUGUGCUUUUCCCUG